rnacentral:rRNA from 1 species
GUAGGGUGCGAGCGUUAAUCGGAAUUACUGGGCGUAAAGCGUGCGCAGGCGGAUUGUUAAGCAAGACGUGAAAUCCCCGGGCUUAACCUGGGAAUGGCGUUUUGAACUGGCAGUCUAGAGUGCGUCAGAGGGGGGUGGAAUUCCACGUGUAGCAGUGAAAUGCGUAGAGAUGUGGAGGAACACCGAUGGCGAAGGCAGCCCCCUGGGAUGACACUGACGCUCAUGUACGAAAGCGUGGGUAGCAAACAGGAUUAGAUACCCUGGUAGUCCACGCCCUAAACGAUGUCAACUGGUUGUUGGGGGAGUGAAAUCCCUUAGUAACGAAGCUAACGCGUGAAGUUGACCGCCUGGGGAGUACGGUCGCAAGAUUAAA